rnacentral:rRNA from 1 species
GACGAACGCUGGCGGCGUGCUUAACACAUGCAAGUCGAACGGCAAGGCCCUGCGUUUGUGGGGUGCUCGAGUGGCGAACGGGUGCGUAACACGUGAGUAACCUGCCCUUGACUUUGGGAUAACUUCAGGAAACUGGGGCUAAUCCCGGAUAGGAGCCCCUGCUGCAUGGUGGGGGUUGGAAAGUUUCGGCGGUUGGGGAUGGACUCGCGGCUUAUCAGCUUGUUGGUGGGGUAGUGGCUUACCAAGGCUUUGACGGGUAGCCGGCCUGGGAGGGUGACCGGCCACAUUGGGACUGAGAGACGGCCCAGACUCCUACGGGAGGCAGCAGUGGGGAAUAUUGCACAAUGGGCCGAAGCCUGAGGCGGCAACGCCGCGUGCGGGAUGACGGCCUUCGGGUUGUAAACCGCUUUCGCCUGUGACGAAGCGGGAGUGACGGUAAUGGGUAAAGAAGCACCGGCUAACUACGUG